AGUGAAUGAUGACAAAAUGUUGCAGUCCCAGAUGAUAAAUACUGAUAAUGUUACAUUUCUGAUAUU
ensembl:snoRNA SNORD73 Small nucleolar RNA SNORD73